GUAACCAUAAAGCGGUUUUGAUUGUAGGUCUUCUUACGGUUCUAUCAGGUUAAAAAUGAACUGUUAGCGUGCUGCUGUUAAACGCUUGCCCAUCCUCGAUCUGAAUAUCUCGAGUGAGCCAACUUCUCUAAAACCAGAAACCUCCUUCGCGCCAAACAAAAUGCCAGACCGACCAACGUACGAAAACGGCAGGAUAUACUACAACUGCCCAUAUUGCGGAAGACGGGUAUGGGUAUAUGAAGCAUUCGGGGCGUUUGUCGGGUCUAAGUGUUUUAACUGCAGGGAUUGUCUUGUCAUGUAAAAUUACGGAUUCAAAAGGUUUUUAUACAAUUACAACGAUAUGCUUUAAAACAUUUGAUGCUCUUUAAGUACACCGUUUUUGAUUUGCGUAAUCACGUCUUACGGAUUAUGAAUGCAACAAUUUUUCGGCAAUGCUUGUAAUGUUUUCACUUUGUUGAUACAUGAUAUCUUUUGAAUACAAUGUGUUGUCAAUUGCGCAAUGUUGUUUAUUGGCAAAAGCAUUUAUUUAAUAUGUAGUGGCACUGUGGCAGUAAAAUCAUUUUUCUGA